CUACGGGGUGCAGCAGUGAGGAAUAUUGCACAAUGGGGGGAACCCUGAUGCAGCAACGCCGCGUGGAGGAUGACGCAUUUCGGUGUGUAAACUCCUUUUAUAUGUCAAGAAAAUGACGGUAGCAUAUGAAUAAGCACCGGCUAACUCCGUGCCAGCGAGCCGCGGUAAUACGGAGGGUGCAAGCGUUACUCGGAAUCACUGGGCGUAAAGGACGCGUAGGCGGGUUGGAAAGUCAGGUGUGAAAUCCUACAGCUUAACUGUAGAACUGCACUUGAAACUUCUAAUCUAGAGUAUGGGAGGGGGAGAUGGAAUUAGUGGUGUAGGGGUAAAAUCCGUAGAUAUCACUAGGAAUACCUAAAGCGAAGGCGAUCUCCUGGAACAUUACUGACGCUAACGCGUGAAAGCGUGGGGAUCAAACAGGAUUAGAUACCCGAGUAGUC
rnacentral:rRNA from 1 species